ACGGGAGGCAGCAGUGGGGGAUAUUGCACAAUGGGGGAAACCCUGAUGCAGCGACGCCGCGUGAGUGAUGAAGUAUUUCGGUAUGUAAAGCUCUAUCAGCAGGGAAGAAAAUGACGGUACCUGACUAAGAAGCACCGGCUAAAUACGUGCCAGCAGCCGCGGUAAUACGUAUGGUGCAAGCGUUAUCCGGAUUUACUGGGUGUAAAGGGAGCGCAGACGGCAUGGCAAGCCAGAUGUGAAAUGCGGGGGCUCAACCCCUGAACUGCAUUUGAAACUGUCAAACUAGAGUGCAGGAGAGGAAAGCGGAAUUCCUAGUGUAGCGGUGAAAUGCGUAGAUAUUAGGAGGAACACCAGUGGCGAAGGCGGCUUUCUGGACUGUAACUGACACUGAGGCACGAAAGCGUGGGGAGCAAACAGGAUUAGAUACCCUGGUA
rnacentral:rRNA from 1 species